UUGUGGUCUUGAAGAUGACAGAAUGAUAUAACUACUUGACAAGGCACAAAAUAAUACCUUCUUUAGUUGCAAGUAAUUAAUUGAUUCCCUGAGUGAGUCUUCCAUUUGCCUAAGAUGUUCUAGAUUAUUGAUCUUCUCAAGAAUACUCCAAUAACUGGAAAAAUGAAAAUGUUACACACUUACUCUUUGAUGGCAAUUCAGAAUUUCUUCAGCCAAUGUACC
rnacentral:lncRNA from 1 species